AUAUUGCAAUGCACCCAAAUAAACAAACAAACAGACAAACCUUCUACAAAGUUGGUUUUCUUAAUAGUUCCAGCACCUCCAUCUCCCUGAAGAAUAUCGAUGCUUUUGAUGAACUGGUGGAGAAUUUUAGGGGCAUAGACAUGAGCUUCAAAGAGUAAAGCCUUGAACAACUUGGCUGGGGGAACUGCAGUAGCAAUCUCAGUCUGAGUAGUAACAACAGCCAUGAUCUUUGAAGAAUAUAAAAAUAACGAGUAAGGUAAUGUAUGUUUGGUGGGUGUGGGGAAAUGCAAGAGCUAAGGAAGGUAUUUAUAGAUAGAGACAUCAAAGAAUUCGCACUCGCUCGCACUUAAAAGUCAAAUUUGCUGGCUAUAACUGUAGAUGCAAAUUCUAUCUUGAUUUGUUCUUGUUUGGCAUCUUUACAUUGGAGAUCUCCUGGCUCUGCAUGGUUUCUAUUGUCCAAGUGUAAUGGCGGGAGACAGAAAGUAUUCAAUUGAGGAUCAUGAUGAUAUUAAUUAUUAUUAUUAUUAUUAUUAUUAUUACUGUUAUUGGUUCACACAUUCUAGAUAUAGAAAUUAAGGUUCUUGGUCGGAGUUUUAAUAAUGUUGUUCAAAUACUUUUCUAGAUGGUCCAUUUUGACGUUCAUAUAUGUAUAUGAUGAAGUAGUAGUACUAUAUACUGUUACCUGUGUACACCUGGUUUGCAAUGGGUGAAAGAAACUUUAAUAAACUACGGCGAGCUAAAUGCUCAGAGGUUUAUCUCUCCUUUUUGUAAAUAAAAAACCAAAAAAAAAAAAAAAAUGCUAUGAUAAGAUAAAAAGUAUGGUCGGGUAAUGGUAUUUUUUUUAUAAUGUUUAAUAAUUUUGUAUUGUUUAAUUAUUCUUAGAAGAUAAUAUUAAUAUUUCGUUUGUUUCUGUAAAAUAACUUGUAAAAAAUAUUUUCCAAAUGAUUGAUUUUUUAUUGUUUGGUUGUAAUAUUUAAAAUUAGUUAAAAAUAUUAAUUAAAUUCUUUUUCUCAUAAGACCAUAAAAAUAUUAAUAAUAAUAGAAAUUUUAUAAUUUUAAAAUUUUAUUGUUAAAUAUGAGAAGAAUGAAAAAAAAAAUGUAAAUUAUGAAAGCUGCCGGUGGCCAGCGAUGGUGGUCGGUGGUAAAUGGUGACUGAUAGUAAUGACUAUGAUGAUUAAUAAAUUACAAAAAAUGUGGAUUUAUAAGGUUUAUCAACGUCCGGAAAAUGUUUUAUUAUCUCGAAAUUGAGAAGUUGUUUUCCUUAAAAAAUGACUUAUUUUUUUUUAAUCAGAAAAAUAUUUUCCGUUGAUUUAUUUUACUGAACGCCCCAAACAACAGAAAAUUGUGAAAAAUAUUUUUCUGCACGUUAUUUUACGGUAAUAAACGGAGGCUAAAUAUGAAUAAAUAUCUUUUUUCAUGAAAGUUUUUGUUUUAAAUAUAUAAAUUGAUUAAAAUUAUUUUUUAAUGAAAUAAUAUAGAUAAUAUAAAAAAUUAAAACUUUUAAGUCUUUUCAACAUUCCACUUUAGUGGGUUGAAAAUUUGAUGAUUUUGAGAUAUUUUAACCUAAAGCAAAAAUAAAAUAAAAUAAAAUAAAAAGCUGAGUUGAAAAUUUUUUAAUCUCCUUUCUUAAGAUUUCUUACAUGGGCCUUUGCCUAGUUAUAUAUGUAAAAAUAAAUUCUCAUUUCUCAAACACACUUAUUAAAUUUAAAGCAAACCAAAAAAUCACCUGAUUAGCUAAAUUAUACUUUAUUUUGAUAAUAUUUAUCUUGGAAAGAUAUUCACUUUCACGAGUAUUUAUAUAAUUUCUGAAAAUAAUUUUAAAAAUAAAAUUUUAAAUUCCAAAAUACUAACAACACGUUACCAUAUUAAAAGAAAAUAUAAUAAAUUGGUAUUUUAAUUUAAUUUAAACGUUAACAUCUUGAAAAUAUAAAAUCAAUGUAUUACAUUAUGGUUGGGGAAAAACAAAUUAUGGAAAAUUUUAAGACAGUUGAAUUAAGCACACCUCUAAGCAAAUCCUGAUGACUAUUAUGAAUAUUAUAUAUGUUUAAUUAAGAUUGUUAAGGUCAUCGGCAAAUCCGUAGUUAUCAAAAGUCAAUUAAGACCAAUAGUUUCUAUAUUGAUUAAUGAACUUAUGAGUAUAUAUUUAUAUAUAUGCAAUUUUUUGAAAGUAAUUUCAUUUAUAUAUAUAUAUAUGUGUGUGUGUGUGUUUCAGGAGUAAUAACAUGAAGAAAAUAGAAAAAGUUGAUGACAUUAUUAUAAAAAAAAAAAAAAGAAAACAGGCAAGAUCGAUGGGCAGUAAUUAGGUCAUGACUGAUGAAAUUUUAGUUUUAGGCAUCAGGAUUUGCCACAAGAUAGGCUUCAACAGCCUUGAUAAAUCCAUCGGUCAUAUCCUCAGCCUCCUUGAUUUUGCUGGGAUCGACCUCAGCGUUGCCCUUAGGGUAGUACUUGUUGGUGGCCUUGUAGAUGGACCCUCCGCCAGGAGUAGCUACUACUUCUGCCUCAUAUGUAACUUUCUCUACUGUCUGUACCCAUGGUUCACCUUCAAAUGCAGUGUAGAUGAAUUUCAAAUUCCCUUCAUCUACUGCAUCUACCUUCACCUUUAAAUACACCCCAAACCCUGGAACAAUGAAUGUUUUAGUAUUUAGGGAUCAUAAUGUAAAAUCAAAUGUUCAAACUAAUUCUUUUUAAUCAACAACUAUUGCAAGACACCCGAAUAAAAUAAGUAAGCAAACAAACCUUCUUUGGAGAAUUUUAGGGGCAUAGACAUGAGCUACAAGGAGAAAGGCCUUGUACAGCUUGGCUGGGGGGACUGCAGUAGCAAUCUCAGUCUGAGUAGAAAGAAUAGCCAUGGUAAUCCUUAAUUUGAAACAAAGUAAAAAUAUAGAAGAAGGUAUUAGGAAAUGUAUACUUGGUGUUUGUGUCGAAAAAUGCAAGAGCUAAGGGAGGUAUUUAUACACAGAUAACAAAGGAUUGGCAUUCACUCGCACUUGAGUCAAAAUGUGCAGGUUUGUAAUAUAAACGUAAAUGCUAUCUUGAUUUGUUUUUGUUUAGCAUUUUUAUAUUGCAGAUCUUUUGGCGCAGGUUGUUUCCAUUGACCAAGUGUAAUGGCGCUAGACAUAAAAUAAUCAAUUGAGGAUCAUGAUGUUAUUAAUUAUAAUUAUUGGUCCAUACCUUCUAGAUAUAUAUAAAUUAAGGUUCUUUAAUUAUUAAUAAUAUUGAUCAAUUACCUUCUAGAUGGUCCAUUUUGACGGUGCUAUAUUAUAACAUAUUGUUACCUUUAUACACUUGGUUUGGAAUGGGUGAAAGAAAGUUUAUCCUCUCCCUUUUGUUAAAAAAUAAUAAUAAAAAGAUAAUAUUAGAUAUGAAUAUUAUAAAUAUAUAUUUUUGCAUGAAUAAUAUAAAAAAUUAAAUCUAAAGAGAGAGAGGGGUGAUUGUGUUUGUUGCAUAUGUAAGAUGUUAAAGAGAAGCCAGUAUUAUAGACCAUGGAACUUGCAACAUAAGAAAUUCCAAUGCCAGAGUACAAUUAAUUAUGAAUUAAUUUAUACUGAAAGCCGCCUAAUUAAUUUAUUAUAUUGUAAUAAUCACACAACUUCUAUUGAUAUAAUUAAUGAUUUACAUAAUUUUAUUGUAUUCUAACAAAUAAUAUAAUGUUUCUAUCAAUCAGGUGUGUUUGUUUCGACUAUAAAUGUUUUUAUCAAAUUAGUAAAUCAGAAGAAAACUACUGUAUUCUAUAAUCCAUAAUAUUAUUUCGGCAUCGUGUAACGAAUAAAAAAAAUUAUAAGAGAGCUUCUGUUGAUAGGAUCAAUUUUAAAAUUAAAAUAAAUAAAUAAAUUUUGGAGUACUUCAGACAGCGCACAUUUCAUACGAGGAUUUCAUGGAGAAGCCCAAUUUCGUCGCUCCUAAGCAACGUGGGACGCAUUAAGUAGGUAUCUUCAUUUUUUAAAAAAUUAAUAACAAAAAUAAGAUUUUAAAUGCCUUUGACUAUCAAAUCACAUCUAGUUAUUCACAUUUGUAGAUUUAAAAAAUAUAUAUUUUUUAAUUUAUGGAAGGGCUAUAUAAUAAGGGUAGUCGUCUUUAAAAACUACCUGUAGUAAAGAGGAUUUGAAAUUAAAAUCUCCCACUCUUUACAUAAGUGAUAAAACAAAUCAGACCAUUACUUGAUUGGCUGUAAAUUUAAAAAUAUGGCACUUGAGAAAUGUGUAAUUAAAAUAAUUAAAAAUCUUAUUUUUUAUUUAAUGAAUAAUAAUUUGACUAUAUUAUUAAUCAAAAAAUUACAACAAUUAGAAUUUAUCAAUCCUUAAAAUAAAAAAAAAAUAUGAAAAAAAACAUAAUUAAAAAUUAUAUUUCUUUGAAUUAAUUAUUAUUCUAUUGUUUUGAGAUUUUUUUUGUAAGUAACGUAAAUCUAUGUUAUUAAAUUAUUAAGUCUAAGCUAUGCGAAAUUAAUUGUACACAUUAAUGAAAUUUUUUGGCCACAUACGGUAAAUAUGUCAUCUUCAUGGGCGGAGGGAUGGGGCUGGGGAGGCCGGGCCCCUCUAAACUCUAGAAUUUUUCCUAUUUUUGCUUUAUAAUUUAAUAAAAAAAAUAUUUUUCUUUAUUUUGGUCCCUCGACUUUUAAAAUUUUUAUUUUAACCUCUCUAAAUUCUAAAAUCUAACUCCGUCCUGAUCAUCUUCUUUAUUAUGAUAAAUUUUUUUCAUAUUCAUGACUUUCAGUAAAACAGUAAGAAUUCAACUAAUGAUUAGAUGAGGAGGUUAGAAGUAGAAUUAUUUACUUGAAUAUAAUAAGUGUUCCUUUCGUUAAUAAGUUAAAUGCUAAAUUUUGCUUUUUCAUUUUUUCAUAAUUGGAUAUGUAAUUCGAUUUGAAAUUGAUUUUUAAGUCAAUUUAGAUCAUAAAAUUUGAAUUUAUAAUUAAUUUAUCCUUUUUUUUUUUUUCAAAAAGUAGUAAGAUAUUAAAUUUUUACUUUUGAAAUAAUAAAAAUUAACAAUCGAAGAUUAAAGAAAAAAAAAUGUAAAAUUAAAAGACAUUUUGUUUCUAUUCUUGUUUUCUUCUCCUCUUGGAUGAUAAGAUUGAGUUUCUGUCUAUUGUUAUUAUUAUUUUUAAAAUUUUGAAAGGAUAUUUAAAAAAGUAAUAUUAUAUAUACUAAAAAAAAAAGAAGUAAUAAUAUAUUACUUUUUUACCAAUAAUAAGAUACAUAGAGUCAAAACCUAAGUCUUAAAUUGAAGAUUUAAAUUCAACAUUUUCUCCAGUUACUUGGAUGAUAAGUGAUCUCAAAAAUUUAUAAGAGUAAGAAUACAAAUUUAAUUUUCAUAAUUACACUUUCGAGAGAAAUUAUAACCCUAAAUAAAAAAAAGAAUAAAUCUUAACAUAUAGUCAAAGUAUCAACUGUCUAGCAUUUGCGUCGACAGUGACAUAUAUAGAUACAUGGGCGAAACCCCAAAAUUAUUAGAUUAAACACAACAUUAAUCAAGAACAAGAAAAUAUUAGUAGAAAUAGAAUGUUUAUUGCAAGUCAAGGCAUUUUACAUUUUCACUCUCCAAAAUCCAAAAACAAAUACAAAUGCUAAAAGCCAUCCAUUCAACCCAAUACUGCACACACAAACUUUAUUAUCAUGCCAAAAACACUCGUAGAAAAGAGAAAAAGAAACAAGCAAGAUCGAUGGGCAGUAAUUGGGACACGGCUUAUGAAAUUUUAGUUUCAGGCAUCAGGAUUUGCCACAAGAUAGGCUUCAACAGCCUUGACAAGUCCUUCGGUCUUCUCUUCAGCAUCCUUGAUUUUGCUGAUAUCGAUCUCAGCGUUGCCCUUAGGGUAGUACUUGUUGGUGGCCUUGUAGAUGGAUCCUCCGCCAGGAGCAGCUACUACUUGUGUCUCAUACGUAGCUUUUUCUACCGUAUCUACCCACGGCUCACCUUCAAACGCAGUGUAGACGAAUUUCAAGUUGGCUUCAUCUACUGCAUCUACCUUGACCUUUAAGUAGACUCCAAACCCUGCAUGUCGAAAAAAAAAAAAUCAAAUAUUCAAAUUCUGAUCAACUAAUUCUUUUUAUAUCAACAGUUAUAUUGCAAUGCACCCAAAUAAACAAACAAACAGACAAACCUUCUACAAAGUUGGUUUUCUUAAUAGUUCCAGCACCUCCAUCUCCCUGAAGAAUAUCGAUGCUUUUGAUGAACUGGUGGAGAAUUUUAGGGGCAUAGACAUGAGCUUCAAAGAGUAAAGCCUUGAACAACUUGGCUGGGGGAACUGCAGUAGCAAUCUCAGUCUGAGUAGUAACAACAGCCAUGAUCUUUGAAGAAUAUAAAAAUAACGAGUAAGGUAAUGUAUGUUUGGUGGGUGUGGGGAAAUGCAAGAGCUAAGGAAGGUAUUUAUAGAUGGAGACAUCAAAGAAUUCGCACUCGCUGGCACUUAAAAGUCAAAUUUGCUGGCUAUAACUGUAGAUGCAAAUUCUAUCUUGAUUUGUUC
rnacentral:lncRNA from 1 species